rnacentral:lncRNA from 1 species
GUUUUCUUACAUUGAAGACAAUGUUGAUUUUAAGUGUGGGGUGGAUGUCAUUACUCGUUGAUUUGCUAUGCUUUGAUAUGAUUUGAGUUGUUUUUAAUUUUUAGGAUUAAUUUUGAAUUUUUUUUUUGUUUAUGUUUUCCGAUUUUUAGAUGAACUUUGUUUCUUUAUUUUGUGUUGUUAUUUUACUUUGUUGAGUCUUAGGUGCCUUCUAACGUGUCUAGGAUGAAUAUAUGAUCUUUGAUUGAUUAGUUAUUGAGAUGAGCAUGAUUUCGAAUAUUUGAGCUUAUAUGUUAUUUGAUGGUUAAUGGAUAUGUUGAAAUUGUACGAACUUGUAGUAGAUGAGGACCAUUGAAACUUAGGUACAGAAUGAGCAUGUUCCUUACUUGUUUGAUUUCAUGUACCCCUUGUGAGACUUUCGAGCCAUAUAUAUGUGCCUUUUCUUUGGAGAGUUUACUCUAUCUAUUCUUUGAUAUAUAUGACCUCAUUAUACAUUACUUGAUCAAUUUAUAUGCCAUAGAGAUUUAAUGAACUAGAGAUUGCUAGAACUUACUCGUGAAACUUUCAAAACUUUUAUCAUAACUUACUUUGAUUUUGAAUAGGAUUGUGGAUCUUUCUUAGGACUAUCACCACUUUAUCUAAAUAGCCAUAUAUCCUUACUUUGAGCCUUGUUUGGGACCCCUUAGUCUGAACCCCCUAGAGCCUACGUUAUGCCUUUCUUGUUCACCUAAAUUAUCCCUUGCCUAGUAUAGAAUUCCUCUACCUUGUCUCGAGCUUGGCAGAGCUAUCUUUUUGUGGUGAUUUGAGGUGAUGAUUCAAUACAAGUGUGGGGUUGUUCUAAGGAGUUUGUUGCCGAGAUACACAUGAGAAGAAAAAAAUUGCUCUUGGAAUUUAAGAAAAAAAAAAGACAUGAUCCGAGUAAAGAAAAAAAAAAAGUUUAACGAAUUGAUGAAGAUGUCUCGGCCUAGAUGAAGUUUUUGUGAAUUUGGAGUUGUGAUUUAUUUGUUGAAGGCUCAAUAUGUUAUACUUUUAGCCUUUGUUCGUUUUCACAAUGAUUAAAGUGAAGGAUGGGUCCAACGUGAUGAUAUUUGGCCCUUGGUGUAUGGUGACAUAAGGUGGAUGUUCUUGCUCUGCUAAGUCUUGAGGAUGACCUUUGCGAUUCCUAUACUUUGAAAAUUUUUCCAUGCCGAGCCUAGCCAACCUAUUUUCUAAAAGAUCCGCAUGAUUCUUAAGAUAAGUAAACUUUGAUCUGUGGAGUCUGUUUCAUGAGUAAGCAUAUGGUUGUGGUUCAUUUGUGCAUAUGAUUGGUAUCUUUCAUGAGGUUUUCGAAUUCAUUAUGUUCUUUAUAACUCUUGUGUGUGAAAAGCUUUUAAGCAUAUGCCAUGUUCUUGAGAGAAAAAAUUCGGAGUGCAUAUCCUUUGUGAGUUGAAUUUGAACUUGUUUGGAACGUGUCGAG